UGGCAGUGUUGAGGACAGGGGAACAUCUUUGUUCCCCUGUCCUCAACACUGCCAAAAUUGAACUAAGUUUCAUGCUCGAACUUACGUAC
rnacentral:snoRNA from 1 species